rnacentral:rRNA from 1 species
UACGUAGGAUGCAAGCAUUGUCCGGAUUUAUUGGGCGUAAAGAGUUCGUAGGCGGUUUGUUAAGUCUAAUGUUAAAGAUCAGGGCUCAACCCUGGGACUGCAUUGGAUACUGGCAGACUGGAGUGUGGUAGAGGUAAGUGGAAUUUCUGGUGUAGCGGUGAAAUGCGUAGAUAUCAGGAAGAACACCAGUGGCGUAGGCGACUUACUGGGCCAUAACUGACGCUGAGGAACGAAAGCCAGGGGAGCAAAUGGG